rnacentral:rRNA from 1 species
UACAGAGGGUGCGAGCGUUGUUCGGAAUUAUUGGGCGUAAAGGGCGCGUAGGCGGUGCGGUAAGUCACCUGUGAAAUCUCCUGGCUCAACUGGGAGCUUGCAGGCGAAACUGCCGUGCUGGAGUGUGGGAGAGGUGCGUGGAAUUCCCGGUGUAGCGGUGAAAUGCGUAGAUAUGACAUAGAACACCAAUUGCGAAGGCAGCUCACUACCCAGAUAUUGACACUGAGGCACGAAAGCGUGGGGAUCAAACAGG